CAAGUCGAGCGGACAGAUGGGAGCUUGCUCCCUGAUGUUAGCGGCGGACGGGUGAGUAACACGUGGGUAACCUGCCUGUAAGACUGGGAUAACUCCGGGAAACCGGGGCUAAUACCGGAUGGUUGUUUGAACCGCAUGGUUCAAACAUAAAAGGUGGCUUCGGCUACCACUUACAGAUGGACCCGCGGCGCAUUAGCUAGUUGGUGAGGUAACGGCUCACCAAGGCAACGAUGCGUAGCCGACCUGAGAGGGUGAUCGGCCACACUGGGACUGAGACACGGCCCAGACUCCUACGGGAGGCAGCAGUAGGGAAUCUUCCGCAAUGGACGAAAGUCUGACGGAGCAACGCCGCGUGAGUGAUGAAGGUUUUCGGAUCGUAAAGCUCUGUUGUUAGGGAAGAACAAGUACCGUUCGAAUAGGGCGGUACCUUGACGGUACCUAACCAGAAAGCCACGGCUAACUACGUGCCAGCAGCCGCGGUAAUACGUAGGUGGCAAGCGUUGUCCGGAAUUAUUGGGCGUAAAGGGCUCG
rnacentral:rRNA from 1 species